AUUGAACGCUGGCGGCAGGCCUAACACAUGCAAGUCGAACGAGUGGCGGACGGGUGCGUAAUGUCUGGGAAACUGCCCGAUGGAGGGGGAUAACUACUGGAAACGGUAGCUAAUACCGCAUACCAUCGGAUGUGCCCAUAUGGGAUUAGCUAGUGUGUUGGGUAACGGCUCACCUAGGCGACGAUCCCUAGCUUGUCUGAGAGGAUGACCAGCCACACUGGAACUGAGACACGGUCCAGACUCAUACGGGAGGCAGCAGUGGGGAAAAUUGCACAAGGGGCUAAAGCCUGAUGCAGCCAUGCCGCGUGUAUGAAGAAGGCCUUCGGGUUGUAAAGUACGUUCAGCGAGGAGGCGUUACUCGCAGAAGAAGCACCGGCUAACUCCGUGCCAGCCGCCGCGGUAAUAC
rnacentral:rRNA from 1 species